UACGGGGGGGGCAAGCGUUGUUCGGAAUUACUGGGCGUAAAGGGCUCGUAGGCGGCCAACUAAGUCAGACGUGAAAUCCCUCGGCCUAACCGGGGAACUGCGUCUGAUACUGGAAGGCUUGAGGAUGGGCGAGGGAUGUAGAAUUCCAGGUGUAGCGGUGAAAUGCGUAGAUAUCUGGAGGAAUACCGGUGGCGAAGGCGGCAUCCUGGACCAUUACUGACGCUGAGGCGCGAAAGCUAGGGGAGCAAACGGG
rnacentral:rRNA from 1 species